GUGUCAGCAGCCGCGGUAAUACGUAGGUGGCGAGCGUUAUCCGGAUUUACUGGGCGUAAAGCGGGUGCAGACGGUUUUUCAAGUCGGAUGUAAAAUCUCUCGGCUUAACCGGGAGGGGUCAUUCGAUACUGUUAAGCUAGAGGACAACAGGGGGAGGCGGAAUUCCCGGUGUAGUGGUGAAAUGCGUAGAUAUCGGGAGGAACACCAGUGGCGAAGGCGGCCUCCUGGGUUGUUUCUGACGUUCAUACCCGAAGGUGUGGGGAGCAAACAGGAUUAGAUACCCUGGUAGUCCACACUGUAAACGAUGGACACUAGGUAUAGGGAGUAUCGACCCUCUCUGUGCCAAAGCUAACGCGUUAAGUGUCCCGUCUGGGGAGUACGACCGCAAGGUUAAAACUUAAAUGAAUUGGCGGGG
rnacentral:rRNA from 1 species